rfam:Triticum aestivum genome assembly, contig: Triticum_aestivum_CS42_TGACv1_scaffold_080271_1DS
UAAAUACUCCCUUCGUCUGGAAUUACUUGUCACAGUAUUGAAUGUAUCUAGACAUAUUUAGUUCUAGAUACAUUCAUUUUUAUUGAUUGUUGCGACAAGUAAUUUUGAACAAAGGGAGUAUUAU